AUUGAACGCUGGCGGCAUGCUUUACACAUGCAAGUCGAACGGUAACAGGGUGCUUGCACCGCUGACGAGUGGCGAACGGGUGAGUAAUGCGUCGGAACGUGCCGAGUAGUGGGGGAUAACGCAGCGAAAGUUGUGCUGAUACCGCAUACGUACUGAGGUAGAAAGUGGGGGACCUUCGGGCCUCACGCUAUUCGAGCGGCCGACGUCUGAUUAGCUAGUAGGUGAGGUAAAGGCUCACCUAGGCGACGAUCAGUAGCGGGUCUGAGAGGAUGAUCGGCCACACGGGGACGGAGACACGGCCCAGACUCCUACGGGAGGCAGCAGUGGGGAAUUUUGGACAAUGGGCGAAAGCCUGAUCCAGCCAUGCCGCGUGUCUGAAGAAGGCCUUCGGGUUGUAAAGGACUUUUGUCGGGGAGGAAAUCCCUAGCGUUAAUACCGCUGGGGGAUGACAGUACCUGAAGAAUAAGCACCGGCUAACCACGUGCCAGCAGCCGCCGUAAAAC
rnacentral:rRNA from 1 species